rnacentral:rRNA from 1 species
GACAGAGGGUGCAAACGUUGCUCGGAAUCACUGGGCGUAAAGGGCGUGUAGGCGGGAAUGUAAGUCGGGCGUGAAAUCCCUAGGCUCAACCUAGGAACUGCACUCGAACUGCGUUUCUUGAGUAUCGGAGAGGAAAGCGGAAUACCUGGUGUAGAGGUGAAAUUCGUAGAUAUCAGGUGGAACACCGAGUGGCGAAGGCGGCUUUCUGGACGAUAACUGACGCUGAGACGCGAAAGCGUGGGGAGCAAACAGG